UAACAAGGUAGCCGUAGGGGAACCUGCGGCUGGAUCACCUCCUUAAUCGAAGAU
rnacentral:rRNA from 1 species